AACGAUGAGUGCUAAGUGUUGGAGGGUUUCCGCCCUUCAGUGCUGCAGCAAACGCAUUAAGCACUCCGCCUGGGGAGUACGACCGCAAGGUUGAAACUCAAAGGAAUUGACGGGGGCCCGCACAAGCGGUGGAGCAUGUGGUUUAAUUCGAAGCAACGCGAAGAACCUUACCAGGUCUUGACAUCCUUUGACCACUCUAGAGAUAGAGCUUUCCCUUCGGGGACAAAGUGACAGGUGGUGCAUGGUUGUCGUCAGCUCGUGUCGUGAGAUGUUGGGUUAAGUCCCGCAACGAGCGCAACCCUUAUUGUUAGUUGCCAUCAUUUAGUUGGGCACUCUAGCGAGACUGCCGGUGACGAACCGGAGGAAGGUGGGGAUGACGUCGAGUCAUCAUGGCCCUUACGAGUAGGGCUACACACGUGCUACAAUGGCGUAUACAAAGAGAAGCGACCUCGCGAGAGCAAGCGGAACUCAUAAAGUACGUCGUAGUCCGGAUUGGAGUCUGCAACUCGACUCCAUGAAGUCGGAAUCGCUAGUAAUCGUAGAUCAGAAUGCUACGGUGAAUACGUUCCCGGGCCUUGUACACACCGCCCGUCACACCAUGGGAGUGGGUUGCAAAAGAAGUAGGUAGCUUAACCUUCGGGAGGGCGCUUACCACUUUGUGAUUCAUGACUGGGGUGAAGUCGUAA
rnacentral:rRNA from 1 species